GUCAAGGGAGAAAGAGCAUAGGGUGGAUGCCUUGGCAUCAGCAGCCGAAGAAGGGCGUGGCAAGACUGCGAAAAGCCUCAGUGAGCUGUCUAGCUAGCUUAGCUGGGGAUUCCCGAAUGGGGCAACCCACCCCGAUGAAAGCGGGGCACUCCGAUUAUAUCGGAGGGGGAACUGGGUGAAUUGAAACAUCUUAGUAACCCGAGGAAGAGAAAUCAACCGAGAUUCCCUGAGUAGUGGCGAACGAAAGGGGAAGAGCCCAAACCAAGAUAGCUAAGUGGGCUUGGAUCCUAAGCUAUUUUGGUGUUGUAAGACA
rnacentral:rRNA from 1 species